UGGAGUGUAGCUCAGUGGUAGAGCACUUGCCUAGCAUGUAUGAGGUCCUAGGUUCAACCCCAAGCAUCGCAA
rnacentral:tRNA from 1 species